UUGUGUGUGGGGUUAGGGUUAGUGUUUAAUAUUAGUUCAUAUUGAGUUAUUCAGCGCGCGUUAAAAACUGUGAAUAUUCAAAGUGUUGUUUUAAUACCCUAUAUUCGGAAAUCUACUUCUUUGAAUUAUUUUGACUUUCUUUUUUUAUUCUAAUUAAAUACUUUGGUUUUUUUUUUGUUACUUAUCUAAGAGUUUAUUUUUUUGUAAUUUUUAAAUAUAUUUGAGUAUACUUUCUAAAGAAAAUAAUUCAUUUAGUGACGUCAGAGGGGCCUAUCUUCAACAUUUCUGUAGGCAUUUAGUUAUUGAACCUGGUGCGCUAUCCUAAAAUUCUAAUCACACGUAGGGGCGCUACAUGGAUUAAAAAAACUUACUGUUAUUUAACAAUAAAAGGCUUGUAAUAUUUGAUAGUGAAUUAUUCUGUCAGGAAACAUUUACUUAACAUUAAUGGAACGAGACUCCAGUGUCAGUACUUUACAACAAUCAGAGCCAAAGCUGUAACUUUACGUUUUCCACCAUGGGAAAGUGUAAGGACAGAGGAUGUUAUGCACUGUGAGUUCUCAAUAACAAGCUUUGUGAUUUCUCUGUAGCAAGCUAUAAACUGAUUUUUUUUUUUUUUUUUUUUUUUUUUUUUUUAAAUCGCUUGUAGAGUCAUGUUUCUGAACGGUACAGAUGCACACUAUAGACCAGAUUAUAAUCAAAUGGUGUAAGGAGACAGCUGGCUCGGCCUUGUGCCAACACUAGAGGGAGGAAGAGUGCCACCAGAAACAUUGCUAGACCGACUUCUACCACCAGAGGAAGGCAGAGAACACCUUCUUACUUAUCACUGGAAAUCAGCUCCACCUGUGCCUAGGUCUAUUUAAGGAGAGUUCUCCAAUCAUCCAGUGUUCAGUCUUUGGUCAGUCAUGCUAUGUGCUGGUGGCCCAAUUCUCAGCUGGUAACUCUGGUAAGAAUCUCAUGGGCACAUCUUGGUAAUUUCUCUGGCUUCUCUAGCCAACUCUUGAGCUCCCUCAAGCUCUCAGUGUAAGUAUAUACAUAAAGAAACAUAUUAGUUUCAGUCUGGGCUUUUAGUGGGCCUGAACUUUCAGUUAAUUCUUGGGCAUUUUAGCUUGCUCUGCAAUUGGGUCUAUCCCUGUCUCUGUGGGUGGCUUACUGGGUUGAGUUCUCACUUCUGAUUACUGGAGACCUGGGUUCACACUCUGCAUGAAAUAACCUCACCAUUACAAAGGAGUUGACCUAAAAGUACCGUGGCCCUGAUUAUUGAUCUUGGGUAUGUUUCAUGGACAAGGAUCUCAGUAAAGAGGAACAAAACCAGUGGUUAUUUUAAUUUGUUCCCCAUCUGUAUAUACACACAUUUUGUAUUUUGAGAACAGCUCCAUUUUUUUGUCCACUGUAUGAUGACUGAAUUAGCAGCAGAAGAAGGGAGGAUAGCCUCCCUGCAGUGUAGCCUGGCACUCUGACCUACAUGUGUGUUUACCAGCUCAGAUUCUGAUCGGUCAAUACUGAACCUAAGAUAAAUCAGAACGGAGCAAGUGCACAAUAAGUGAGUGUUUUGGUGUAUACAGCUGUUGGUGUGUGUGGUGUUUGGUUAUUUUUAUUUUUUUUUUAUUUUUUUUUUACACCACACAGCACAAAACAAUGAAGUGGUACAGAAAGCUAUUUCUACACUUCUUGGUCAUUGCUGCCACCAGUGCCUUUAUUGUACACAAAGAGCUUUACGGCACCAUGAGCCAUAAGGAGUUUAUGGAAGAACUAAUUGCAGAGCUCUGUGGUGUGUCACAGAAAAUAACACCAAAGCGGACCAGUGUUGACCAUGUGCCAGUUCCAGGAGCUGAGCAGGCCUCAGAUGGCACUGCUGGUCGCCGGAUCUGUGUGCUUUGCAAAGCAAAGCAUGGUAAGAGGCAGGACACUCCUUGGAAAUGCCAGGCAUGUGAUGUUCACUUGUGUGUUCGGCUGAAAAGGAACUGUUUCCUAGAGUGGCACAAAGAUGUAUAGAUGUAUAGCUGUAUAGCUGUUCAAUUCUGUGGGCUUCAAAUAGUGGGCUUUUACUAUAUUCUAAAUAAACUACAAACAAAAAAUAUAUAAAUUUCUUUUGUUCUCACAUUCUUUUUCAUAGCACUUCCCUCUCAGCCACAUUCCUGACUCAACGGCUCAUUAUGCAGGUCAUUAUGUGGGUUUUUGUCUUCUUAGGUGUCAAUCACAUUAUUAUUCGUGAUCAUUCAUGCCCUCUUGCAUAUGCCCUUUCGAAACAAAGUGUCUUAGAAAAUUUAAAUAAGUAUAUUGUUUACUGUGAAUGAGUGAACAAGAUGAUUAUCACAUCAUUUUGAUGCAAAAAAUCUAGGCUACAAGAUCCAGUCCUCGAAAGUCUUGUGAACCAAUGUUCUGUAUAUGUUUUAUGGCCUUAUUUCAGUGACUUAAUUUUAGUUUUUCACUAACCACGCAUAAACGCUGUUUUCUCAAACACAAUCAUGUAUAAACAUGCUGCUCAUAUUAUUGUAGCCCAGUUUGUGCUGAUUACAGUCUUAUCAGACUUUAGCCAUUAAUAUAUUUAAAAGCAACUGAAAAAAGCACAAAUGUCAGGGCAUGUCAAAAUUUGUCCAGGGCCCCAAAACACCCUCAGACCCCAGAGGGUUAAACCCUAAACUUGUUUUGAUGUAAUGUUUUAUCAGUUGUGAUACAUGUGCAAAACAAGCUAGUACCUGUUCUUGUCACAAAUGACCUCUUUUAAGAAUGCAUCAUGGGUCCUAACAUGGUGCGCUCUGCUUACAUGUCAUUUUUUUCUCAUUUUUCCAUGUGCUUUUGUGUGCGAGCAGAGGCCAUCCACACUGGAUCCACGCCUUCUAAAAUAAUAUCAACAAAUCUUUGACUAAGACCUUCCUGACUCAUGGUUGGAGCCCUACUUCUGGUUGGAGUUCUCAUCGGUUGAGUUCACUCGCUGCUGCUGGGGAUGGCCCGAUAUGGACGGCCUGAAGAACCAUUUGGAUUGCUGGGAAUGGUGCCACCUGGGGGCUGUGGAGAUGGCUUGGCGAUCACAUAUGGCGAGCUGUACUAUAAUGGCUUGGGACUGCGAUUGCUGUAGUGGCUUUGGGGCUGCAGUUGCCACAAGCACCUUCAUACUCAGGACUCUAUCAUUGGACCAACCGGACUUCUUGCAAAAACUGUGAUGAAUUUACUGGUUGCACAAUUGCACUAUUUGUCCAUAUAGUGCACAAUAAUAGAAGAGAUUUAGUUAUAAUUGCACUAUCCAUUGCACCCAGAUGAGGAUGGGUUCCCUUUCGAGCCUGGUUCCUCUCAAGGUUUCUUCCUCAUAUUGUCUCAGGGAGUUUUUCCUUGCCACAUACAUUCACAUUUACAAUAUAUUUUUUGUGAAUCCAUGUAUUUCUGUAAAGCUGCUUUGUGACAAUGUCCAUUGUUAAAAGCGUUAUACAAAUAAAAUUGAAUUGAAGUAUGGA